GACGAACGCUGGCGGCGUGCUUAACACAUGCAAGUCGAACGCUGAAGCUUGGUGCUUGCACUGGGUGGAUGAGUGGCGAACGGGUGAGUAAUACGUGAGUAACCUGCCCUUGACUCUGGGAUAAGCCUGGGAAACUGGGUCUAAUACUGGAUACGACAUGUCACCGCAUGGUGGUGUGUGGAAAGGGUUUUACUGGUUUUGGAUGGGCUCACGGCCUAUCAGCUUGUUGGUGGGGUAAUGGCUCACCAAGGCGACGACGGGUAGCCGGCCUGAGAGGGUGACCGGCCACACUGGGACUGAGACACGGCCCAGACUCCUACGGGAGGCAGCAGUGGGGAAUAUUGCACAAUGGGCGGAAGCCUGAUGCAGCGACGCCGCGUGAGGGAUGACGGCCUUCGGGUUGUAAACCUCUUUCAGCACGGAAGAAGCGAGAGUGACGGUACGUGCAGAAGAAGCGCCGGCUAACUACGUG
rnacentral:rRNA from 1 species